rnacentral:rRNA from 1 species
GAUGAACGCUGGCGGUCUGCUUAACACAUGCAAGUCGAACGCAACCUUCGGGUUGAGUGGCGGACGGGUGAGUAACGCGUGAGAAUCUGCCUUGGGGUCGGGGACAACCACUGGAAACGGUGGCUAAUACCGGAUAAGCCUUUGGGUAAAAGAUUUAUUGCCCCAAGAGGAGCUCGCGUCUGAUUAGCUAGUUGGUGAGGUAAAAGCUCACCAAGGCAGCGAUCAGUAGCUGGUCUGAGAGGACGAUCAGCCACACUGGGACUGAGACACGGCCUAGACUCCUACGGGAGGCAGCAGUGGGGAAUUUUCCGCAAUGGGCGAAAGCCUGACGGAGCAAGACCGCGUGAGGGAGGAAGGCUCUUGGGUUGUAAACCUCUUUUCUCAGGGAAGAAGCUCUGACGGUACCCUGAGGAAUCAGCCUCGGCUAACUCCGUGCCAGCAGCCGCGGUAAUACGGAGGAGGCAAGCGUUAUCCGGAAUUAUUGGGCGUAAAGCGUCCGCAGGUGGCGAUUCAAGUCUGCUGUCAAAGCACGGGGCUUAACUCCGUUAAGGCAGUGGAAACUGAAUAGCUAGAGUGCCGUAGGGGUAGAGGGAAUUCCCGGUGUAGCGGUGAAAUGCGUAGAGAUCGGGAAGAACAUCGGUGGCGAAAGCGCUCUACUGGACGGCAACUGACACUCAGGGACGAAAGCUAGGGGAGCGAAUGGGAUUAGAUACCCCAGUAGUCCUAGCUGUAAACGAUGGAUACUAGGUGUAGCUUGUAU